rnacentral:rRNA from 1 species
GACGAACGCUGGCGGCGUGCUUAACACAUGCAAGUCGAACGCUGAAGCUUGGUGCUUGCACUGGGUGGAUGAGUGGCGAACGGGUGAGUAAUACGUGAGUAACCUGCCCUUGACUCUGGGAUAAGCCUGGGAAACUGGGUCUAAUACUGGAUAUGACAUGCCACUGCAUGGUGGUGUGUGGAAAGGGUUUUACUGGUUUUGGAUGGGCUCACGGCCUAUCAGCUUGUUGGUGGGGUAAUGGCCUACCAAGGCGACGACGGGUAGCCGGCCUGAGAGGGUGACCGGCCACACUGGGACUGAGACACGGCCCAGACUCCUACGGGAGGCAGCAGUGGGGAAUAUUGCACAAUGGGCGGAAGCCUGAUGCAGCGACGCCGCGUGAGGGAUGACGGCCUUCGGGUUGUAAACCCCUUUCAGCACGGAAGAAGCGAGAGUGACGGUACGUGCAGAAGAAGCGCCGGCUAACUACGUG